UAGGGAAUCUUCGGCAAUGGACGGAAGUCUGACCGAGCAACGCCGCGUGAGUGAAGAAGGUUUUCGGAUCGUAAAGCUCUGUUGUAAGAGAAGAACGAGUGUGAGAGUGGAAAGUUCACACUGUGACGGUAUCUUACCAGAAAGGGACGGCUAACUACGUGCCAGCAGCCGCGGUAAUACGUAGGUCCCGAGCGUUGUCCGGAUCUAUUGGGCGUAAAGCGAGCGCAGGCGGUUAGAUAAGUCUGAAGUUAAAGGCUGUGGCUUAACCAUAGUAGGCUUUGGAAACUGUUUAACUUGAGUGCAAGAGGGGAGAGUGGAAUUCCAUGUGUAGCGGUGAAAUGCGUAGAUAUAUGGAGGAACACCGGUGGCGAAAGCGGCUCUCUGGCUUGUAACUGACGCUGAGGCUCGAAAGCGUGGGGAGCAAACAGGAUUAGAUACCCUGGUAGUCCACGCUGUAAACGAUGAGUGCUAGGUGUUAGACCCUUUCCGGGGUUUAGUGCCGUAGCUAACGCAUUAAGCACUCCGCCUGGGGAGUACGACCGCAAGGUUG
rnacentral:rRNA from 1 species